UCCAGUGGUGAUCUAAGAUAAAACCUUGAGAC
rnacentral:piRNA from 1 species